rnacentral:lncRNA from 1 species
GUGAUGGUAAAUAUAUCUGCAAGUUGUCAGAUCAUCUCAAUGUCAAAAUUUUGCUUGAAUAUAUGAAACCAUUUAGAAAAUUCAUACCUUUUACAUUGAUCCCAUUUUGCCAAUUUCAUUAUCUAAAAAUCCAACUUAAAAAAAAAAUAAUAAUAAUUUUAAUUAUUUCUCCCAGCUCUAGAAAGCAGGUACUGCACUUCAUUAUGAGGUCAUGUUGCUACUGUGAAGCACACAUGAGCAAAUCAAUGCUGAGAAUGGCAACAUCCCUCAGUGAUUUUGGACUUCAGCACAAUUUGUUGAGAACGUGUCUCCUCUUGAUUAAUACUUUCAGACAGCAGAAGGGUGAGGACAUCCAAGCUUUUCAGCAUCCAGAGAGGUCCCCAUUGAUAUGUUUUUGCAGUGUGGACUGCACCUCCUGAGGAAGGCCCCUUGUCUGACCAGCUUUAAGCCUCUUGGAACCUAGUCAUCUCCUCAGGGAUGUGCCUUUCAAAUGCAAACACAUUACUUCUGGGUAUGGUUGUCAGCAUGAUUCCUUUAUGCUCAAGUUUCACAAUAUUUUCGUGAUACUGGGACUGAUGCAGCUUAGGCUGUUGUCAGGAUCAGGUUAGGAAAGUAUAUGGUAACAGGCAAGCUACAGCAGACCUUGUCAUGGAUCUGGGGGAGCAGGCUCUCCCCAUGGUGGCAGAGCAGGGCAGGGCCUAGCAUCCAGGGCCUAACCUAUCACCCCAACCCAGAGCAGGGCAACUGGGGGGGUCACUGGGGCAGCCCCAUUAGCUCUGAAAACAGGGAUGGGCCAAGGCUUGGACAGGAUUUGGGCCCAUGGGUGGGCUUGAAGGUGGGCCCAUGCCUAGGAGGGGCAGGGUUGGGGAGAGCUAGCAGCCAACCCUGCUGUGGCCUUGCUGGGCAUGGGGCUAACAGUCCUAGGGGACCAAAAUGAGGCCCUGGGCAGGGUGUAGGGAGACUCUGGUGGAGGCUGGACAGGGCUGGUAAGGCUCUUUGGUGCUACCAGGGCAAUGACAGUUCUCUCCUUGCUAGGACUUGUCUGUAAGUG